UACAGGCUUAACACAUGCAAGUCGAGGGGCAGCAUGGUCUUAGCUUGCUGAGGCCGAUGGCGACCGGCGCACGGGUGAGUAACACGUAUCCAACCUGCCGUCUACUCUUGGACAGCCUUCUGAAAGGAAGAUUAAUACAAGAUGGCAUCAUGAGUCCGCAUGUUCACAUGAUUAAAGGUAUUCCGGUAGACGAUGGGGAUGCGUUCCAUUAGAUAGUAGGCGGGGUAACGGCCCACCUAGUCUUCGAUGGAUAGGGGUUCUGAGAGGAAGGUCCCCCACAUUGGAACUGAGACACGGUCCAAACUCCUACGGGAGGCAGCAGUGAGGAAUAUUGGUCAAUGGGCGAGAGCCUGAACCAGCCAAGUAGCGUGAAGGAUGACUGCCCUAUGGGUUGUAAACUUCUUUUAUAAAGGAAUAAAGUCGGGUAUGGAUACCCGUUUGCAUGUACUUUAUGAAUAAGGAUCGGCUAACUCCGUGCCAGCAGCCGCGGUAAUACGGAGGAUCCGAGCGUUAUCCGGAUUUAUUGGGUUUAAAGGGAGCGUAGAUGGAUGUUUAAGUCAGUUGUGAAAGUUUGCGGCUCAACCGUAAAAUUGCAGUUGAUACUGGAUAUCUUGAGUGCAGUUGAGGCAGGCGGAAUUCGUGGUGUAGCGGUGAAAUGCUUAGAUAUCACGAAGAACUCCGAUUGCGAAGGCAGCCUGCUAAGCUGCAACUGACAUUGAGGCUCGAAAGUGUGGGUAUCAAACAGGAUUAGAUACCCUGGUAGUCCACACGGUAAACGAUGAAUACUCGCUGUUUGCGAUAUACUGCAAGCGGCCAAGCGAAAGCGUUAAGUAUUCCACCUGGGGAGUACGCCGGCAACGGUGAAACUCAAAGGAAUUGACGGGGGCCCGCACAAGCGGAGGAACAUGUGGUUUAAUUCGAUGAUACGCGAGGAACCUUACCCGGGCUUAAAUUGCAGAUGAAUUACGGUGAAAGCCGUAAGCCGCAAGGCAUCUGUGAAGGUGCUGCAUGGUUGUCGUCAGCUCGUGCCGUGAGGUGUCGGCUUAAGUGCCAUAACGAGCGCAACCCUUGUUGUCAGUUACUAACAGGUUCCGCUGAGGACUCUGACAAGACUGCCAUCGUAAGAUGUGAGGAAGGUGGGGAUGACGUCAAAUCAGCACGGCCCUUACGUCCGGGGCUACACACGUGUUACAAUGGGGGGUACAGAGGGCCGCUACCACGCGAGUGGAUGCCAAUCCCAAAAACCUCUCUCAGUUCGGACUGGAGUCUGCAACCCGACUCCACGAAGCUGGAUUCGCUAGUAAUCGCGCAUCAGCCACGGCGCGGUGAAUACGUUCCCGGGCCUUGUACACACCGCCCGUCAAGCCAUGGGAGCCGGGGGUACCUGAAGUGCGUAACCGCGAGGAGCGCCCUAGGGUAAAACUGGUGACUGGGCC
rnacentral:rRNA from 1 species